rnacentral:lncRNA from 1 species
CGCGAAGCACUUGACAUAAAUUGGUUUGCACAGGUGAUAUCAUAGAUUCCGUUCCUCUGAAGAGCUGUCACCGUGGGACAUUGCGAAGCAGUAAACAUUGAACACAUAAACGCCUUUCUUUUCUUCUCGACCUAGUGUUGUGCAAACCAAUUCGCUCAUAUGGGCUGGUAACAUGUUGGGAAGCUGUCAGCAGUGGCGGUUCACCGACUCUAUCGACUCCCAGCAGGCACAUGGAGCCAUGGGGUCCUGCACUUGUGGAUAUCUCCCACCCAAGGUGGCCAGUGUGAAGGGCUAUACCUAGUGCUUAGCUGGGAUAUGGCGCAUGUGCGAAUGGG